AACGAACGCUGGCGGCGUGCCUAACACAUGCAAGUCGAACGGAGGCUCCUCUUCGGAGGAUGUCCUUAGUGGCGGACGGGUGAGUAACGCGUGGGAACCUGCCCUAGUGUGGGGAACAACUACGGGAAACUGUAGCUAAUACCGCAUACGCCCUCAGGGGGAAAGGCUUCGGCCGCACCUGGAGGGACCCGCGUCGGAUUAGCUUGUUGGUGGGGUAACUGCCUACCAAGGCUACGAUCCGUAACUGGUCUGAGAGGACGAUCAGUCACACUGGAACUGAGACACGGUCCAGACUCCUACGGGAGGCAGCAGUGGGGAAUUUUGCACAAUAGGGGAAACCCUGAUGCAGCGACGCCGCGUGGGUGAUGAAGGC
rnacentral:rRNA from 1 species